CCCUAAACGAUGUCAACUGGUUGUUGGGGGAGUGAAAUCCCUUAGUAACGAAGCUAACGCGUGAAGUUGACCGCCUGGGGAGUACGGUCGCAAGAUUAAAACUCAAAGGAAUUGACGGGGACCCGCACAAGCGGUGGAUGAUGUGGAUUAAUUCGAUGCAACGCGAAAAACCUUACCUACCCUUGACAUGUCCGGAAUCCUGAAGAGAUUUGGGAGUGCUCGAAAGAGAACCGGAACACAGGUGCUGCAUGGCUGUCGUCAGCUCGUGUCGUGAGAUGUUGGGUUAAGUCCCGCAACGAGCGCAACCCUUAUCAUUAGUUGCUACGCAAGGGCACUCUAAUGAGACUGCCGGUGACAAACCGGAGGAAGGUGGGGAUGACGUCAAGUCCUCAUGGCCCUUAUGGGUAGGGCUUCACACGUCAUACAAUGGUCGGUACAGAGGGUUGCCAAGCCGCGAGGUGGAGCCAAUCCCAGAAAGCCGAUCGUAGUCCGGAUUGUUCUCUGCAACUCGAGAGCAUGAAGUCGGAAUCGCUAGUAAUCGCGGAUCAGCAUGUCGCAGUGAAUACGUUCCCGGGUCUUGUACACACCGCCCGUCACACCAUGGAGUGGAAUCUGGCAGAAGUAGGUAGCCUAACCGCAAGGAGGGCGCUUACCACGCUGGGUUUCAUGACUGGGGUGAAGUCGUAACAAGGUAACCGUA
rnacentral:rRNA from 1 species